rnacentral:lncRNA from 1 species
CAUUCAUACAAUGGAAUAUUAUUUACCCAUAAAAAGGAAUGGAGUACUGAUACAUGCUACAACAUAGAUGAAUCUUGAAAACGUGAUGCUAAGUGAAAGAACCCGGACACAAAAGGCCACAGUAUUGCAUGAUUCCAUUCAUAUGAAAUGUCCAAAAUCGUCAAAUCCGUACAAAGUACAUUAGUGGUUUCCAGGGGUUGGAGGAAGGGGAGAAUUAAGAGUGACUGCUAACAAACAUGGGGCUUCUUUUGGAGGUGAGAGAAAUGUUUUGAAAUUAGACAGUGGUGAUGAUUGCACAAUAUAAUGAAUAUACUAAAAACCAUUGAAUUGUACACUUUAAAAUGGUGAAUAUCUCAAUUUCUUAAAUUGAAAAAAAGGUAAUGUUCCAAUAAAGAACAUUAUGGUGUCCAUAUGACCAUAAUUAGUAGAAUAAGAAAUGGGUUCUCAAUCAUGAAGACAUCACAUUAGGAGAAUUACUAGGCAAGGGAAAUUGUAAUGACAUACUUAAGGGGACAUUAAAGGAUAAAAUUCAUGUUGAUAUUAAAACAUGUAAAGAAGAUCUUUUCCAGGAACUGAAAUUAAAAUUUUUACAAGAAGCCAAAAUCCUCAAGUGACAUAAUCAUCCCAACGUUGUCAAACUUAUAGGAGUUCGCACACAAAGACAGCCUAUCUACAUCUUUAAGGAACUGGUUCCAGGACGUGGUUUCCUCUCCUUUCUGAGAAAGAAGGAUGAACUAAAACUCAGUUAGUUAGUGAAAUUUUCAUUAGAUGCUGCUUCUGGAUGGCGUAUCUCGAGUAAAAAUUGUAUGCACAGGGACCUUGCUGCAAGAAACUGCCUGGAGGUGAAAAUAAUGUUCUGAAAAUCAGUGACUUUGGAAUGUCUCAUCAAGAGGAUAUUGGUGUAUAUUCAUCUUCUGACUUAAAGCAGAUUCCCAUUAAAUGGACAGCACCAGAAGCUCUUAAUUAUGGGAGAGAUCGUUCUUAGAGUGACGCAUGGAGCUUUGGCAUCCUCCUCUGGGAGACCUUCAGCUUAGGGGUCUGUCCAUUCCCUGGAAUGACAAAUCAGCAAGCACAAGAGCAAGUGGAAAGAGGAUACUGGAUGUCAAUCUCUCAUCAGUGUCCAGAGAAUAUUACAAAAUAAUGCUGAAGUGCUGUGAUUACAAACUUGAAAAUUGCCCCCAAGUUCAAUGAACUUCAGAAAGAGCUAUCAUCAAGAAAAAAGUCACAUAGAGAUGAAACAGUGCCAAAUUCAGUCUUUGGGACCCUAUCUUCAUCAGAGUUAAUAGUUUUCUUCUCAUUAACAUUGAAUUUAUAUCACAUUACCUGCAAUAUUCUUUAAAGUUUAUUUUUUAAACUAACUUCUUUAAAAAAAUGUGCCAUUUUAACCACUGUAAAUAAGAAAGCAUGGGUUCUAAAUGUAAAGGGUCACAGAGAUUUGUCUUUUUCAUACCUAGGAUUGUUGAUGUUUCUCAAAAACAUUGUCUCCUUCAGGCUCAUUUCAGUCUGCUUUCCUUCACCACAGACAUCGACACUAUAUUGACUACGAACCGUACUGGUAAUACCACGUUUGUAGGACACAUUCAAAUAAAAGGUGGCCUUCUACCCCACUGAAGCAGGAAUACAUUUGUAAGCAUCAUUUUACAUUGGUAAUUAUCUGGACUUCCUAGGUUUUCCUUUUUGCCUGAAAUAGGUUCUGUAUUAGGAAGGUUAUCAUUUUCCUAUGUUCCACCAUGACCUCCAUUAGGAAAUCAGAACACUAUGCAUGAAAAGCCCCUUAAAGAGCACUCUCUCAAAGAGUUGAGGCAGUUGACUCUAAAUGAUGUUCUAAACAGUUGUGACAGAAAGAGGCAAGUUUGGAAAGGUAAGGUGGUUUGGAGAAAAGGGUAGGUGAUCAAAGUGGAGAAGGGAAACACAAUUUUAUCAGAGGGAUGCCUUUAUAAAUACAUGCUUAUUAAGUUUAUGGUCAACUACAUCAAAAAGGUCCUAAGAAAUGUCUCAGUAGUUCAUAGAUUCCUCCCUAAAUAGCCGUUUUGAUGGCAACAAAAACAUUUUAAGAGGAACUAUAAAAUACAAAUCCACCAAAAUAAUACCUUAUUCAUGGUUAAGUGUCUUUACCUCAAAGAAGGCAUCCCAGAAUUGUAUUCCCUGCAUUUGUAUUAGUGUCUGAAGCUGUCAGGAUUUCAUAAUCUGUGUGUGUGUGUGUGUCUCCCCAUCCCCCACACACACACACCAAGUAAAAAUACAUAUACAAAUAAAGUCAAUGUUUAAAAUGCCAAGUGAACAUUUAUAAGGAAGAAAGAAAUUAUAAGGAGAAAGACUUAUAAGGAGAAAGACUUAGGGACAGCCAUACUGAUUCCACUUUAUACCUUCAUUUGCCCUUAUACUGCAACCUAAGAACUCUCAUAGCAAACAAUUACUGAGAUGUUCCAUGUAAACAAAAUGUAACAGAGUUAAAACAGGCUCUGUUGAGAUGAAUCUUGACUGGAUCCAGGGAUGCCUCUCAGAAUAAAUGUGUGCAGAGGACACUAACACUCGGGCAAAGGUGGCACAGGAUCCAUUUAUAAGGGCUCAUACCCAUAUCCAGAUGUUUAAAAAAAAAACAGCACCUUAGUGAAUAUUUGUCUACCUUAAGAAGAGGAGUAAGGAACAGAAAGUUCCUCCUGCCCUCAGUUGUGUACUGUCUAUGAAUACCAGUACACAGAGCCCAUAUCCAGUACUUUUUAAAAGUAUAAAGGAUAAUGCAGACAAAACUGUUUCAUGUCUAUCAUUUCAAUCUCCCAACAAUAAUUUCAAGCAUACUUAAUGAUUACUACAAAAUGAAAUAAAAGCAUAAUAAAUCUGCCCUCAAAAUAUGUUGCAACAUAUAAAACAACUUCUUUUUAAUUAGUAUGGUUUCCCCUUCUAAUAAAUAGUGUAAGUAAACUGAACCUACUUUUGAUGGCCAAAAAAUACUAAAGUGUUGCUCGUUAUCAAUGUUCACACUAAUCCCAGAGAAAACACUACCUCUGCACACAGCUUUCCAUGUAAAGUGAACAGAGUAUCUAAAACAUCCCAGGUAAUAAAGAAAACUACUUGGUUGUUUGAUGAGAAGGAAAAGAUACAUAGCCUCUAACAAAAUCACAAUCUAUGGAGGUAUAUAUGCAUAGGAACCAGUGACUAGGACAAGCUCACAUGUAAGCAAUGGCUAUCCUAACAUACUCCCUACCCCAGUCCACAUUAUCACCAUCUAGGAAUAGGCCUUAGAAUGGCAAUACAAUCUUAAAAUAAGAAAUCUGUGAGAGCUUAGGAAGUAAAUUUCCAAGUAUGGACUUAAAGGGGGGGGGGGAUUAUAAAAAUCACCUGUCUAUAGGGGCUAUAUAAUGAAAACAAAUGAAGUGAGGUGAGUGCGGACUGACUGAGGUGAACGGUUUUAACUGUGGGCAUUGGGGGUGUGCAGGGUAGAAGGUCCUAGCUCUAUGUGGGUUGUACCUAGGGAGAUCUGAUUGUUGCCAUGCAGAAAUCAGGACACAAUGUUAUCAGAUGUUCUAAUUCUUCAAGAAAAACUGAAAUCUGGAUUUGUCAAAUCUUCUGAUUGCUAAAUUAAACUAAUGUUUUUUAAAAAAAUUAAUUUUGUGUGAGGCUAAAGAGGUAAACAGCCACAAUUUGACUAGGGGCUGAGAAUUUGCCAAUCUUGGGUUCAGAAGAUAAGAGUUUGUUUACACAUAUGACAAUGGAGAUGAGAAUUUAACCAACCAAAUACACUUGGCCUUGUUGGAAUGGAAUGUUACAGAAAUAUAAUAAACUAAACAUACAGUUGCAUAGGAUAUGAGAUGAGGAUUACAAAUAUAAAUUAAAAUUGAGAAGACAAAAAUGGCUUUGCAGGACAAUCUUAAUAGGCAGGAAUUUAUUAAUUUAUCUUAUUUGUUUAUUUAUUCAUUUGGGUGCUGGGUGACUGAAUCCCAGCACCCACUUGGGCAUUUUAUCACUGAGCUACCUCCCCAGGCCCUUUAUUUUUGAGACAGGAUGUAGCUAAGUUACUUAGGGUCUUGCUAAAUUGCUAAGGUUGGCCUCAAACUUGUGAUCAUCAAUAGGCAAGAAUUUUUAAAGAGUAAGGUAGAACAAAAGGUUAAAUGCAAAGCUGCUAAUGUUCAAGAGACUCAAUCAAGGAAGGAAAGGAUACAUAGCCUCCA